rnacentral:lncRNA from 1 species
GGGCACUGGGAGAAGAUGCGGCUCAAGAACCUCUGCUCAGGGGAAGGAGAGCGCAUGGGACAGCAUGGCAGGGCUGGCUGGAUGAUGCAGAAACCAUACCCCUGCCCACCAAAAGGACGCACGUGCUAUGGCUACUUAAAGGUAUGGACACCGAAUACAGAUCAAUGUUUCACUGAGGACAUGAGAAUCUGGGACCAUGUAAGAAGUGGGUGGAGCUAAUGUUGCAAUUACAGCAAGUGGCCUGGCUGGCCGGGGGGGUCAGUCACUCCCAAGGCACGUGUGAAGCCCAUAGCAGACAUUACCAUUGACCUUGACCCUCUCCUACAGUGAGCCCUGCCAUCAAGGUCCUCAGUCCCGCUGAGUACAGGUAGGUGAUUGGAGAGGCCACAAUGGGUGUAGGCUUGUGUUCUUCACCGGACUAAGGUAGAGUCCCUCUCCCUGUGGUGCAAUACAGUGGCUCUUUGGGAGACAAUACACAGGAGAAGAAAUGCACAA